GGUACAGAGGCAUCAUAGAAUAGCUGGGCAGAAAGUCUGGGCUGAGUAAGAGAAGAUCCUUUGCUAUGGGUGGAAGAAUAGAAGGCUAGAGUUAAGACUAAGCCAGGGAGAUGAGGGUAGAAACCGGGAAAAGAGGAAGGGUAAGGAAUGGGGAACUGGUGAGAAAGGGCCCAGAAAAACUCUGUUCCCCCAAGGAGGCUUGGAUCUAAAGGGAGGAUGUCUUGGGCCAAUCCGGGAAGAAAAAAGGUGCUUGCAGGAGAAAAAGACAAGAGCCCAAGUGCUCCGGGAUGUUGAGGCUGGUGAAGAGGGCAAAAGGAUCUCCUGACUGAAGCUGAGACCCUGUUUUCCUGGUGAGGCUGAUAAAGAAUCUCCUGACUGGACUGAUAACGUGCUUCCUUUCCAAUAAUCUGACCCCAACUUAUUCCUGUCACCAGCUCAACUCUUAUUCACUUCUGUAGGCAGAAGCAUAUCCAUAAACUCCAGGGACCCUUCAACAAAGGAGGUCCCUGAGACUCUUUGGGGAUGAUACGUCCAGAAGAAGAACUCAAAAACAAAAUGCCAGACCUGACAAUUAUUGUAUUUUCCACUAGUCUAAAAACUUUUGAAAAUAUCCUGAUCAUGAAUUCUUCUUGUCAUCAUUAACCAUGAAUAAAUGAUUGCCCUGAGAGCAGGACUUUUUCAUUUAUAUCUUUGUUUUCCAAGUGCCUAGCACAAUUCCUGGCACAUAGUAGGAAUAAAUAAAU